rnacentral:piRNA from 1 species
UCAAGAGGGUGACAUUUUGUUUG